GACGAACGCUGGCGGCGUGCUUAACACAUGCAAGUCGAACGGUAAGGCCCUUCGGGGUACACGAGUGGCGAACGGGUGAGUAACACGUGGGUGAUCUGCCCUGCACUUCGGGAUAAGCCCGGGAAACUGGGUCUAAUACCGGAUAGGACUCCGGACUGCAUGGUCUGGGGUGGAAAGCUUUUGCGGUGUGGGAUGGGCCCGCGGCCUAUCAGCUUGUUGGUGGGGUGAUGGCCUACUAAGGCGACGACGGGUAGCCGGCCUGAGAGGGUGACCGGCCACACUGGGACUGAGAUACGGCCCAGACUCCUACGGGAGGCAGCAGUGGGGAAUAUUGCACAAUGGGCGAAAGCCUGACGCAGCGACAUCGCGUGAAGGAUGACGGUCCUCGGAUUGUAAACUUCAAUAGUCUAUUAAAAAAUCUUGAUUGAUAGAUGAAAGCCCUGGCUAACCACGUGCCAGCAGCCGCGGUAA
rnacentral:rRNA from 1 species